GAUGAAGAACGCAGCGAAAGGCGAUACGUAAUGUGAAUUGCAAAUUCAGUGAAUCAUCGAGUCUUUGAACGCACAUUGCGCCCCCUGGUAUUCCGGGGGGCAUGCCUGUCCGAGCGUCAUUGCUGCCCUCAAGCACGGCUUGUGUGUUGGGCCCCGUCCUCCGAUCCCGGGGGACGGGCCCGAAAGGCAGCGGCGGCACCGCGUCCGGUCCUCGAGCGUAUGGGGCUUUGUCACCCGCUCUGUAGGCCCGGCCGGCGCUUGCCGAUCAACCCAAAUUUUUAUCCAGGUUGACCUCGGAUCAGGUAGGGAUACCCGCUGAACUUAAGCAUAUCAAUAAGCGGAGGA
rnacentral:misc_RNA from 1 species